rnacentral:rRNA from 1 species
UACGUAGGGUGCAAGCGUUAAUCGGAAUUACUGGGCGUAAAGCGUGCGCAGGCGGUUUUGUAAGUCUGUCGUGAAAUCCCCGGGCUUAACCUGGGAAUGGCGAUGGAGACUGCAAGGCUAGAGUUUGGCAGAGGGGGGUAGAAUUCCACGUGUAGCAGUGAAAUGCGUAGAGAUGUGGAGGAACACCGAUGGCGAAGGCAGCCCCCUGGGUCAAAACUGACGCUCAUGCACGAAAGCGUGGGGAGCAAGCAGG